rnacentral:rRNA from 1 species
UAUGUAAUUGUGUGCCAGCAGCGGUAAUACGUAUGGUGCAAGCGUUAUCCGGAUUUACUGGGUGUAAAGGGUGAGUAGGCGGUCAUGCAAGUCAUAUGUGAAAUGUCAGGGCUUAACCUUGGCGCUGCAUAAGAAACUGUAUGACUAGAGUGCAGGAGAGGUAAGCGGAAUUCCUAGUGUAGCGGUGAAAUGCGUAGAUAUUAGGAAGAACACCGGUGGCGAAGGCGGCUUACUGGACUGUUACUGACGCUGAGUCACGAAAGCGUGGGGAGCAAACAGG